rnacentral:rRNA from 1 species
GACGAACGCUGGCGGCGUGCUUAACACAUGCAAGUCGAACGGAAAGGCCCUGCUUUUGUGGGGUGCUCGAGUGGCGAACGGGUGAGUAACACGCGAGUAACCUGCCCUUGACUGUGGGAUAACUUCAGGAAACUGGGGCUAAUACCGGAUAGGAGCUCCUGCUGCAUGGUGGGGGUUGGAAAGUUUCGGCGGUUGGGGAUGGACUCGCGGCUUAUCAGCUAGUUGGUGGGGUAGUGGCUUACCAAGGCUUUGACGGGUAGCCGGCCUGAGAGGGUGACCGGCCACAUUGGGACUGAGAGACGGCCCAGUCGGCUACGGGAGGCAGCAGUGGGGAGUAUUGCACAAUGGGCGGAAGCCUGAUGCGGAAGCGCCGGGUGCGGGAUGCCGGCCUACGGGUUGUAAACCGCUUUCGACUGUGACGAAGCGUGAGUGACGGUAAUGGGUAAGGAAGCACCGGCUAACUACGUG